rnacentral:misc_RNA from 1 species
AACGCACAUUGCGCCCAUUAGUAUUCUAGUGGGCAUGCCUGUUCGAGCGUCAUUUCAACCCUUAAGCUCAGCUUAGUGUUGGGAGACUGCCUAACCGCAGCUCCUCAAAUUCAGUUGGCAGAGUGUAGGUGUGCUCUGAGCGUAGUAAUUCUUUAUCUCGCUUCUGAAAGCCUUGCACUGUCGCCACAAACCUAUUAUUUUUUAAUGGUUGACCUCGGAUCAGGUAGGAAUACCCGCUGAACUUAA